rnacentral:rRNA from 1 species
GACGAACGCUGGCGGGAUGCCUUACACAUGCAAGUCGAACGGAGUGGCGAACGGGUGAGUAAUGUAUCGGAACGUGCCCAGUAGCGGGGGAUAACUCCGCGAAAGCGUAGCUAAUACCGCCUACUAUUGGAGCGGCCGGUAUCGGAUUAGCUAGUUGGUGGGGUAACGGCUCACCAAGGCGACGGUCCGUAGCUGGUUUGAGAGGACGACCAGCCACACUGGGCCUGAGACCCGGCCCAGACUCCGACGGGAGGCAGCAGUGGGGAAUUUUGGACAAUGGGGGAAACCCUGAUCCAGCCAUCCCGCGUGUGCGAGGAAGGCCUUCGUGUUGUAAAGCACUUUUGGCAGGAAAGCGGUACCUGCAGAAUAAGCACCGGCUAACUACGGGCCAGCCGCCGCGGUAAUAC